rnacentral:rRNA from 1 species
AGAGUUUGAUCAUGGCUCAGAUUGAACGCUGGCGGCAGGCCUAACACAUGCAAGUCGAGCGGUAGCACAGAGAGCUUGCUCUCGGGUGACGAGCGGCGGACGGGUGAGUAAUGUCUGGGAAACUGCCUGAUGGAGGGGGAUAACUACUGGAAACGGUAGCUAAUACCGCAUAAUGUCGCAAGACCAAAGUGGGGGACCUUCGGGCCUCAUGCCAUCAGAUGUGCCCAGAUGGGAUUAGCUAGUAGGUGGGGUAACGGCUCACCUAGGCGACGAUCCCUAGCUGGUCUGAGAGGAUGACCAGCCACACUGGAACUGAGACACGGUCCAGACUCCUACGGGAGGCAGCAGUGGGGAAUAUUGCACAAUGGGCGCAAGCCUGAUGCAGCCAUGCCGCGUGUGUGAAGAAGGCCUUCGGGUUGUAAAGCACUUUCAGCGGGGAGGAAGGCGGUGAGGUUAAUAACCUCAUCGAUUGACGUUACCCGCAGAAGAAGCACCGGCUAACUCCGUGCCAGCAGCCGCGGUAAUACGGAGGGUGCAAGCGUUAAUCGGAAUUACUGGGCGUAAAGCGCACGCAGGCGGUCUGUCAAGUCGGAUGUGAAAUCCCCGGGCUCAACCUGGGAACUGCAUUCGAAACUGGCAGGCUAGAGUCUUGUAGAGGGGGGUAGAAUUCCAGGUGUAGCGGUGAAAUGCGUAGAGAUCUGGAGGAAUACCGGUGGCGAAGGCGGCCCCCUGGACAAAGACUGACGCUCAGGUGCGAAAGCGUGGGGAGCAAACAGGAUUAGAUACCCUGGUAGUCCACGCCGUAAACGAUGUCGAUUUGGAGGUUGUGCCCUUGAGGCGUGGCUUCCGGAGCUAACGCGUUAAAUCGACCGCCUGGGGAGUACGGCCGCAAGGUUAAAACUCAAAUGAAUUGACGGGGGCCCGCACAAGCGGUGGAGCAUGUGGUUUAAUUCGAUGCAACGCGAAGAACCUUACCUGGUCUUGACAUCCACAGAACUUUCCAGAGAUGGAUUGGUGCCUUCGGGAACUGUGAGACAGGUGCUGCAUGGCUGUCGUCAGCUCGUGUUGUGAAAUGUUGGGUUAAGUCCCGCAACGAGCGCAACCCUUAUCCUUUGUUGCCAGCGGU